UACGUAGGGUGCAAGCGUUGUCCGGAAUUACUGGGCGUAAAGCGUGCGCAGACGGUCAUGUAAGUCGGGUGUGAAAGCCCCGGGCUCAACCUGGGAAUUGCAUUCGAGACUGCAUGGCUAGGGUGCGGAAGAGGGAAGCGGAAUUUCCGGUGUAGCGGUGAAAUUCGUAGAUAUCGGGAGGAACACCAGUGGCGAAGGCGGCGACCUGGGCCAAUAUUGACGCUGAGGUGCGAAAGCGUGGGGAGCAAACAGG
rnacentral:rRNA from 1 species